rnacentral:lncRNA from 1 species
AAAAGCAAAUAUUUUUUAUACCAAUGAACAUUUUCAAAAAUCCAAACAAUCAUUUCCUAAAACAAAACAACUCUGGAAGACACACUCAAUCAAUUUUAGCAGCAAUAGCAUCUCCUAGAAGGAGUCUUGAAACCUCUAUUAAAGAACUCACAUUGGAAAUUUUAUGAGUGAAAUAAUGGAUAUUAAAAAAGAAUAACACAAGGUUGUCAUCACCAAAGUGGUGGAGGUAAUAACAUAAAAGAAGAAGAAAAAUAAAAAUAAAAUGAAGAAGAAGAAAAAGGAAAGGAAAAAGAAAACGCAAAAAAAAAGAAAAGAAAAUAAAGAGAUUGAAAAGGAAGGAAAAAAGAAAAGGAAGAGGAAAACGAAAAAUUAGAAAUUUACUAGUUAAGAAUUUACCUUAUGCUUGUA